AGUAAUUUUAAAUACAGUAUUCAUAGCAUGUAGUCUAGUAUGUCAAGCUUCAUUACUUUGCCACACAACGCUUCCCGAUGAAUAAUAAAAUGUAUAGCAGGAACAUUAACGUUAGAUUUGCGUAAUAAUCCAACAAAACAGAUAUUUUUACUAACCAUGACUUUGGCACCAUCUGCCACAACCGAUGACAUUUUUUAAAUCCACCAAAUGGUUCAAUUGCGUUUUUUAUUGCAUUAAAUAUAUCACUUCCUUU